rnacentral:misc_RNA from 1 species
GGGGGUUUCUUUUUUCUUCAGACAAUCUCUCUUUUCAUAAUUCGUUUAUUUUCUGAAUUUUACAGAAGGUAACAAAAAAUCUUGAAAAAGAGAGGAAAAAAAUUGGAAGAAGCCAAAGUUUCAUUGGCCAUUUUUAGAGAAGGGGUUUGAAGAAAUUAUCUUGGUAGUGCUCAUGGUGCCUGAUAUUUAUUACCCUUCAAAGAAAAGCGACGAUUUUUGUGAAGACGUUUGUGGCGAGCAGUCUACCCCUGGAAUAGUAAGCAUGUCAAGAUUAAGGUGUAUGCUUCGAGGAUU